CAGCCCGAGCAGCUCGGUCUUCCCCUGCUCCGCCGUUCGUCCUUGGGAGGACUAAUCCUCUUCCUCACAGCACGGCCGCCUCAAGGAAGAGAGCUCCAAGAGCACAAGCGCCGGUGUGUCAGCGUCUAUCGAGUUUCUGCUCGAGUCAUGAUUGUUCGCAGCCCAUUGGCCAAAGUGAGUCACGUGGCCAAGUUCCGAGUCACGUGGGAGGUGACGUAGACUUUAUCCCCGGAUGGGCGAUGUGGUGAAGAAUUCUGGGUAUUUUGAAUCCAUCACGAUUACAAGUAUAAAAUGUAAACCUGAGAGCAGCUGGGCUGAGAACAUCCCAGUCCAAGGCUCCCUGGAGACUGAGAGGAGGGAGAAGUCAGAAGAGCAACUGAAGGAAAAGUCCAGUCCCCUGCGCUUAGCGGAACAACAGGCUGUUCCCUUCUGAUCAGACCUCACACAGAAGCCCCCAGGACCAGGCCAGGGGCAACUGCUGAGGAAGCAAUGUGUCAGCUCAAGUCUUACCCUCUGGCAACCUUUUGGUAAGGGUCAAAACUUUCUGCACGAUCUGAGGGGUUUGAAGACAUUAAAAUUAUUUUUGAUUGAAUUUUAAGUUAUCUUUCUUAACUUUGACUAGCAACUCCAGAUUUUAAGAUCAUUGCCUAGCAUGUUGGAUACUGACCAGUUAAGGGAGAGGAACCAUUCAGGCGGACAUAUGAAUAUCCACCUUUAUUACUGGAGAAGCUGAACUGGAGAACCCAGCCUGAGUUGGCAACCAUCCUCCCUCCCAAAUGCCUUCCCCACCCACUUCCCAUCCAAGACCGCAUGG